UACAGAGGUCCCGAGCGUUGUUCGGAAUCACUGGGCUUAAAGCGCGUGUAGGCGGAUGGGAACGUCGGUAGUUGAAAGCCCCCGGCUCAACCGGGGAAGUGGUGCCGAAACGACCCGUCUGGAGGGACGUAGGGGGACCUGGAACUCCGGUGGAGCGGUGAAAUGCGUUGAGAUCGGAAGGAACGCCCGUGGCGAAAGCGAGGUCCUGGACGUCUACUGACGCUGAGA
rnacentral:rRNA from 1 species